ensembl:lncRNA
CACAGCCUGAGUGGGAUCCACUGGGGCCUACUUAUUGAAAUUUACAGGGCAGAUGGCUGAAUCAGUGGGCAAGACAUCAGUCAGCCUGGAGGGAGUGCACAGAGACAAGUCAGUUCUUUUUAUUAUUAUAUUUCUGGCUGUGCUUCGUUGCUGCCCAGACUUUUCUCUAGUUGCAGAGUGGAGGCUACUCUCUCGCUGCGGUGCACGGGCUUCCCAUUGUGGUGGCUUCUCUUGUUCUGAAGUGCAGGCUCUAGGCUCAUGGGCUUCAGUGCCUGUGGUGCUUGAGCUUAUUUGCACUGUGGCAUGUGGGAUCUUCCCGGCCCAGGGAUCAAACCUGUGUCCUUUGCAUUGUAAGGCAGAUUCUUAUCCCCUGGACCACAAGGGAAGCUCUAUUUGUAGACUUUUGGAUGAUGGCCAUUCUGAC